rnacentral:rRNA from 1 species
GACGAACGCUGGCGGCGUGCCUAACACAUGCAAGUCGAACGGGGUAAGAUGCUUCGGCAUUUUACUUAGUGGCGAACGGGUGAGUAACGCGUGAGAAACCUGCCUUUCAGAGGGGGAAAACAGUUGGAAACGACUGCUAAUACCGCAAAAUGUUAUUUGGGGGAAUCCCUGAAUAACCAAAGCUUUAUGUCCUGAAAGAUGGUCUAACGUCUGAUUAGCGAGAUGGCGGGGUAACGGCCCACCAUGGCGACGAUCAGUAGCCGGUCUGAGAGGAUGAACGGCCACAUUGGAACUGAGAUACGGCCCAGACUCCUACGGGAGGCAGCAGUGGGGAAUAUUGGGCAAUGGGGGAAACCCUGACCCAGCAACGCCGCGUGAGGGAAGAAGGCUUUCGGGUUGUAAACCUCUUUUAGCAGGGACGAAGAACGUGACGGUACCUGCAGAAAAAGCAACGGCUAACUACGUGCCAGCCGCCGCCGUAAAAC